AAAUUAAUAUUAAAUAAUUAAUUCUCGGUUUAGUAAGAUUUAUUAAAUUAUAAAUUUUAUUGUGAAAAAAAUAUUUAUAAUAAUUUAAUUGAAAUGAAAUGUUAUUCGAUUACUAAUAUAUCUAGUUUUUUAAGAAAUAAAUUUAAUUUAUUAAAUUUUAAGUAUUUAUUUAUUAUUAUUAUUAUUAUUAUUAUUAGAAUAUUAUAAUUUGAAAAUGAUUUUAGGGAUAAGCUUAAAAUUAAAGUUUAAGAUAUACGGUAGUCAGUAAAAUGUAUAGAAUUAGAAGUUUUUAUUGUAAUAUAUUAAGUUAUAUUAAUAUUUAAAGUUAAUUAAAUUUAUAUUAUAUUUUAGUAUCUAUUAAAAUAAUUAAUUUAUUGGUAAAUUUAAUUUAAUAAUGAUAGAAUUAGUAUUAAUAAUUUUAUAUUAUAACUGGGAUUAAAGGUUAAUUUAAGGAAUUCGGCAAUAAUAUUCUUGCCUGUUUAUUAAAAACAUGGUUUUUUGAUAAUGAUUUAAGAUUUGAUCUGCUCACUGAUAUUUUAAAGAGCUGCAGUAAUUUGACUGUACGAAGGUAGCAUAAUAAUUAGUUAUUUAAUUGGUAACUAGAAUGAAUGGUUGGACAAAGUAUAUACUGUCUUAAUUUAAAUUUGAGAGAAUUUUAUAUUUAAGUAAAAAAGCUUAAAUAUGAUUAAAAGACGAGAAGACCCUAUAGAAUUUAAUACAAAUUUAUUUAUUAGUUUAAAGAAAUUAAUAUUAAAAUUUAAAUAGUAUUUUAUUGGGGCGAUGGAAAAAUUUAAAUAACUUUUUUAUAGUUAGUUACAUAUAUGAAUGUAAAUUUGAUUCAAUAUUAUUGAAUAAUAGAAUAAAUUACCUUAGGGAUAACAGCGUAAUUUUUUUAAAAGUUCAAAUUUAAUUAAAAGAUUGCGACCUCGAUGUUGGAUUAAAAUUAAAGUUAGGUGUAGAAGCUUAAUAGUUAGGUCUGUUCGACCUUUAGAAUU
rnacentral:rRNA from 1 species